UUAGUGAGACCCAGCAGCAAGUGAAUCUGAGAAGAAUAUUUUUUUCCCUUUCUGAGUCUUCAUGUAGGCAACUAUACACAGAGGCUGUUUCUAAGGGAGGAAGGAGAUAAGGUACAGUAAGGGCCAUGGUCUCUGCCACGGGAAUCCUUCUCAGAACCUAGAUGUUCUGUGUUGGGAAUUAUUACUCAAGGAGCAACAAAACACAAUAAAAAUAAUUCACCAUGAAUGAUUCCUCUAUGAAGUCUGUGAAUAACGUGGAAAACGAUGGCGAUGUUUGUUAAGUGAAGAAAAUAGACCCUGGAAUUCCUUAUAUGAGGGAGGCUGCAGUGUUCGUGGUGGAGUACUGGUGUGGGCAGUCAGGAAGGUGGCCACUACCCAUCACCGUGGAUCUGGGUUGAUUUGAAUUGAAGAAACUGCACUUUAAAAAUUAAUAAAAUGUUCUGUUACAUCUGGUUCUUAAAGA
ensembl:lincRNA Gm45079 predicted gene 45079